rnacentral:lncRNA from 1 species
UUUUUUUUUUUUUUUACUGUUUCAGUCUUGUUGCUGGAGAUGUAUACAUACAUAUAUGUUUAAAUUUUUAUUUCAUCUUGGUUGCAUUUUAGUGGGUCAUAUACACUGGAAAAUUCAUCUAUUUCUUCUAGCGUUUCAAAGUUAAGGGAAUAUAGGUUUAUAAGGUAUGUCUUCAUGAUUUUUCUGGACUUCAUUGGUAUCUGUUACAACAUCUUACUUCUGAUAUCUAAUUUUAUCGAUGUAGGUCUUCUCCUCUUUAUCUUUUGGUUAAAUUGGCAAAGAAUUUUCCAGUCUUGCUUAUCAGAGAAACAACUCUUUGUUUAAUUGAUUCUUUGUAUUAUAUUUGUUUCUAGUUCAUUAAUUUCUGCUCUGAUCCUAGUUUUUUUGUGUGUGACAAGGUCUCACUGUGUAAACUUGACUGGCCUAGAACUUCCUGUAUAUAACAGGCUGGCCUCAUACUCACAGAAAUCUGCUUGCCUCCUCUCUUCUAUGAUUCUAGGAGUGUGCUCCCAAGCCCUCAUUCUCUCCCUGUCUAGUGUUUUCAAGUUUGGUUUGUUCUUGACUUUCCAAGACUUUAGGUGCACCAUUCAGUUAUUUAUUUGAGAUUUUUCAGAUGGCAGCAAACUUGUGUGACUAAGCAAAAUUUCCACUAGCAGGUAUGGGAUACCUCCACAGAAGUUUAUCAGCGAAGCCCCAGAUGUCCCCCCCAAAACAGGUUCUGCAGUACUUUUAGUUAUUCAUCACUAGAUGAUAUGACCCUUUUGCAGAAGAUGCCCUAGUUAUAAGAUAGAGAGAAAGUAAGCUGAAACUGAGCUGGAAUCUUCUUCUCUGCUGGCUACUCUCAUAGUACUAGAAUGUGCUACUCUACAUGCUGCUGGAAGAGAAAAUGUAUUAUUGGCCUUACCCAUCUGUGUACCCUAAAAAACAGGAAAAAAAAAACUAUCCUGAAAAGAUGUGUCUACCUAUGCAAUAGUGGCAUAAUUGUGAGAACAGCUGCCAUCUGAUAAGAUUUGAGGCUUGUUCCCAAGAGUGAAACUCAUAGCUAGUAAGCCCACUUAACAGUCUAUGCCUAGGGAAGUUGUAGGUCCAACUGGAGUAACUAGAUUUAUACAUCAUCAAACUGCCUUCUAAAUACGUAUAUUUAUACCCAUUGACAUAGGUUGUUCUCAGUCAUAAUGAGAGAAGCCUUUCUUUGCAAUAAUCAGCAAUGAAUACAAAGACUAGAUAGACUCGUAGCACCCUAAGAUUCUAAGAAUGGGUGAUGGUUGAAGGCUCAGUCCUAAACAGACAUUUAUAUUCCUCCCUUUAAGCUCAGAGAACACUGGGAGAGGCAUUUAGGAAGUAUGCAAAAGCCAGAAGAUAAGGAGAAAGCCUGUGGAUGCCAUUUCCUGAACUCAAUAGAACCAUCACAGUCAUGAACUCAGCAAGUGCACUUACCCUCAGUGGUCCACAUACAAGACAGGUCAUGUUAAAAGGGAAGGGGCUCGUACAACUUCCUAUUGCACUGUUGGCUAUUGAUGGUUUUUGGGAACAGGGGAAUAAUUAUUAUAUACACUGCCAAGCCCACCAGAGCCUGACAGAUAGCUGCAAACCCACAGUCAUUUAUACAGCCCUGGUUCACACAGUAGGUCACAAAGAAAAACAAAUAGACACAUAUGAGAAAGAAUUCUAGGAAAGAGGAGGGGUGUGUGUGUCUGCGUGCCUGUGUGUGGGUCUGUGUGUGUGUGUGUGUAGGAGUAGUAGUGAGAUGAGAGAGUUGAAACUGAGAGUGGUUAGUGUGCAUUAUGCAUUUAUAUUAAGUUGUCAAAUAGUAAAGUUAACUAAAAAUUUUAAAAGUCAUAGAAUAAAUAAAUAAAUAAAUAAAUUCUUUUUCAUCCGGCAAUAUUUAAUCAAAUCUCAAAUAUCACCAGUUGUUACUCUAUUUUGGUCAAUACCCUAGUAGAGAAAGAUAAUGUAUCAUUUUCUUCCACAUCAAUAGUCAAGAGUUGGCUAUAUGGUACAUUAAAUAAAUUUUAGGUAAAAACUUCCAAGAAUCAAGAAGGGGUUGACAAGCAAAACAGAAAUCUGUUCUUCCUGACUUUUAUUUCCCCUAAACUAUCAGCUAAAUAUAAGUAAUGACUAUAAUAUGGUUCUAUGUUAAUGCUGCUUAUUACUUUUCAUUUUCAUAAAAGACCAACCCAAAUUCUUUUAGUAGUAUCUGCUGAGUUUUAAGUUGUGAAUGAAAUCAUAAGCAACCUCAGACUGUUUUGAUGUCUUUAAGGUUAUUACAUGGGUCUCAGCUCACCUUCGUUAGCUUCCUGCUUGUUAGUAAGGAAAAGCCUUUACUCUGCUUUACUUAGGACUUGUGUUCAGGUCUUGAAGAAUUCAUAAAUACAUUCCUUUUAAAAUUCUAUUAAAUAAGCUUAAUAAACCAGUGGAUUUAAUUUUUAUUCAUAUUUUUAAAAAUAUUUUGAGACUAUAGUUACAUUAUUUCUGCCUUCCCUUUAUUCCCACCAAGUUCUCUCAUGCACUGCUCCUCUCUCUUUGGGAUUUGUGUCCUUUUCUUUUUAAUUGUUGGUAUUUUGUAUGUAUGUGUGUGUGCCUAUCCUUAAAAGGUGGUUCAUUGUCUCAUUGCUUUUUCUCUCCUUUCUCCAAAGCUAUCUUAAUUUAAUUCUCAUACAAUGGUAGCAGGAGAAGCUUAUGCUUUCUUCUUUGCCUAUAUUUAAGCAAUUGCCUGGAUUGGCCACAAACAACCCUACAGACAGAACUCAGAAAUUUUACAAAAUGAUGCAGUGAGUUGAAUGAUACUACACAAUAUAUAUAUAGAGAGAACAUGUGGUCAAAACCUGAUUAUGUUAAAUGUUUCCUGAAAUUGUAUGCUAUUGUCAGACGAAAUAAUCACAAGUAAGACUAGGUUAAAAGUGGAAGCAUUUGUAAGAGUCCUGCCUCACUUCUUUGUGUUGUCAUUGAGGAAGAUCUAGUGGUUUUCAGUGACUGUGGAAAAGGUUUUCUUUCUGUAGAUUUGUGAUCUGAACGUUAACAUUAUCAACACUUUCCUUUCCAGGCUCGCUUUGCUCUUUGUGAAAAGAUUUGAAGCUAGGUGGAAUUGAUGUUUGUGAAGAUGGCAUUCAAUUGAUCACGGAUCCAUAAUUAAGUAUAGGUUAGAUUAAAUUUAUUUGCUAGUCCCUUAACUG